rnacentral:rRNA from 1 species
GACGAACGCUGGCGGCGUGCUUAACACAUGCAAGUCGAACGGAAAGGCCCUGCUUUUGUGGGGUGCUCGAGUGGCGAACGGGUGAGUAACACGUGAGUAACCUGCCCUUGACUUUGGGAUAACUUCAGGAACUGGGGCUAAUACCGGAUAGGAGCUCCUGCUGCAUGGUGGGGGUUGGAAAGUUUCGGCGGUUGGGGAUGGACUCGCGGCUUAUCAGCUUGUUGGUGGGGUAGUGGCUUACCAAGGCUUUGACGGGUAGCCGGCCUGAGAGGGUGACCGGCCACAUGGGAACUGAGAUACGCCCCCGACCCCUAGGGGGGGCAGAGGGGGGGAAAUUUGCAAAAGGGGGGGAAGCCUGAUGCAGCAACGCCGGGGGGGGGAGGAGGGCCUUGGGGUGGUAAACCGUUUUCGCCUGGGAGGAAGGGGGGGUGACGGUAAUGGGAAAAGAAGCACCGGAUAACUACGU